rfam:Loxodonta africana unplaced genomic scaffold scaffold_5, whole genome shotgun sequence.
AUUUUAGUAUAAGUAUGUCCCAUGCAAUAUUUGGAACAAACUUAUACUAAAA